UAAUGAAGAUGUUGCCUGUAGUUGAUGUC
rnacentral:piRNA from 1 species